rnacentral:rRNA from 1 species
AUUGAACGCUGGCGGCAGGCCUAACACAUGCAAGUCGAACGAGUGGCGGACGGGUGAGUAAUGUCUGGGAAACUGCCUGAUGGAGGGGGAUAACUACUGGAAACGGUAGCUAAUACCGCAUACAAUCAGAUGUGCCCAGAUGGGCUUAGCUAGUUGGGGGGGUAACGGGUCACCAAGGCGACGAUCCCUAGCUGGUCUGAGAGGAUGACCAGCCAAACUGGAACUGAGACACGGUCCAGACUCCUACGGUAGGCAGCAGUAGGGAAUAUUGCACAAUGGGCGAAAGCCGGAUGCAGCAAUGCCGCGUGUAUGAAGAAGGCCUUCGGAUUGUAAAGUACUGUCAGCGGGGAGGCGUUAACCACAGAGGAAGCAACGGCUAACUCCGUGCCAGCAGCCGCGGUAAUAC